CCUAGUUGCUUGGAAGAAAUGGACAAGAAUCAUGAACUUUAUGGAGAGAAGAAGAAUUGCACCGUCCAAACCUAGUUGGAUGGUCCAAAGGCGUCUUCAAAAGAAUAAAACUAACUUAUUACACGGAAUCUUACGAGCAGUGCUGAGAAAAAGAACGUGAACCCACUGGGCGCUCGUGAUGUGGCACAGGGAUUCGCCUCUUCCUGCUCAUUAGUUUUGGUAUAAUUUCAAGACAUUUUAUUCAUUUCUUUAUUAUUAACAGCUGCAGAGUUAUUGGUUUGGCCUA